UACGAAGGGUGCAAGCGUUAAUCGGAAUUACUGGGCGUAAAGCGCGCGCAGGCGGUCCUUUAAGUCUGAUGUGAAAGCCCACGGCUCAACCGUGGAGGGUCAUUGGAAACUGGAGGACUUGAGUACAGAAGAGAAGAGUGGAAUUCCACGUGUAGCGGUGAAAUGCGUAGAGAUGUGGAGGAACACCAGUGGCGAAGGCGACUCUUUGGUCUGUAACUGACGCUGAGGCGCGAAAGCGUGGGGAGCAAACAGG
rnacentral:rRNA from 1 species